rnacentral:tRNA from 1 species
GGUCUUGUAUUCAUUUUGUGAUUAUAGAAUGCAAUUCUGUAGGGGUGAGUUAAAGAGCUUAUCAAGGCCU